UACGUAGGGGGCUAGCGUUGUUCGGAAUCACUGGGCGUAAAGGGUGCGUAGGCGGAUUCUUAAGUCAGGGGUGAAAUCCUGGAGCUCAACUCCAGAACUGCCUUCGAUACUGGAAGACUCGAGUCCGGGAGAGGUGAGUGGAACUGCGAGUGUAGAGGUGAAAUUCGUAGAUAUUCGCAAGAACACCAGUGGCGAAGGCGGCUCACUGGCCCGGUACUGACGCUGAGGUGCGAAAGCGUGGGGAGCAAACAGG
rnacentral:rRNA from 1 species